GGGGGUGACAGGUUUCGACGGACAGAUGUUUUGACCGGAGAAGCGUGUCGAGAAUCAAGGUGAUCUCGUUAAGAAUCCUUGAAACUAAUAACUGCCAACAAAACGCAGUCUGCAGACGCUUACGCCC
rnacentral:tmRNA from 1 species